AUUGAACGCUGGCGGCAGGCUUAACACAUGCAAGUCGAGCGGGGUGAUGGUGCUUGCACUAUCACUUAGCGGCGGACGGGUGAGUAAUGCUUAGGAAUCUGCCUAUUAGUGGGGGACAACAUCUCGAAAGGGAUGCUAAUACCGCAUACGUCCUACGGGAGAAAGCAGGGGAUCACUUGUGACCUUGCGCUAAUAGAUGAGCCUAAGUCGGAUUAGCUAGUUGGUGGGGUAAAGGCCUACCAAGGCGACGAUCUGUAGCGGGUCUGAGAGGAUGAUCCGCCACACUGGGACUGAAACACGGCCCAGACUCCUACGGGAGGCAGCAGUGGGGAAUAUUGGACAAUGGGCGGAAGCCUGAUCCAGCCAUGCCGCGUGUGUGAAGAAGGCCUUAUGGUUGUAAAGCACUUUAAGCGAGGAGGAGGCUACUUUAGUUAAUACCUAGAGAUAGUGGACGUUACUCGCAGAAUAAGCACCGGCUAACUCUGUGCCAGCAGCCGCCGUAACAC
rnacentral:rRNA from 1 species